rnacentral:piRNA from 1 species
UAUGGACCACUUUCACCUAUGUGAACCUCAUU